GCCACAACAUUUAGUCAAAUUUAUAGACCAUCCACCCAGUUUUCAACCAGUUCAAAACGAUUUUAACGCUUUAAGCGUUUUCUGUUGGGCCGUUUUUUUCCGUUCAUCAACAGGCCGAGCUGAAAACUCACUGCACCGUGUUUUUAAUCUUAUUGUUUGCGCCAAACACUAUCAAAUGUCUAUCGACCAUGAAACACCAUCAGCGCUUUAGUCCGAACCUCCAUCUGUCAGUUAUCGUCAUCUUCAGGCCAUGAUCAGUUCCAUGAUACCCCACACUCCGCUAAUGUCUAAAGGAAAAGUGUGAGUCGUUUCUGAAUGCUGACAAGCUGGUGAAAAACAGCCUCCUCCUUCUCGUCCUCCUGCUGAACAUCUGUCUCUGCAGCACUGGAGCUCCUCCACUGAUGCCCACAGAUGGGACUCACAGUAGGAGCCCAUAGCCAAAUGAACCAAAAGGGCAAGCAACAAACAUUAUAUGCUUAAAAACUGUAGAAGUAAACAUGUUAGAAU
rnacentral:lncRNA from 1 species